GUAGGUGGCAAGCGUUGUCCGGAAUUAUUGGGCGUAAAGCGCGCGCAGGUGGUUCUUUAAGUCUGAUGUGAAAGCCCCCGGCUCAACCGGGGAGGGUCAUUGGAAACUGGGGAACUUGAGUGCAGGAGAGGAAAGUGGAAUUCCACGUGUAGCGGUGAAAUGCGUAGAUAUGUGGAGGAACACCAGUGACGAAGGCGACUUUCUGGCCUGUAACUGACACUGAGGCGCGAAAGCGUGGGGAGCAAACAGGGAUUAGAUACCCUGGUAGUCCACGCCGUAAACGAUGAGUGCUAAGUGUUGGGGGGGUUUCCCGCCCCUCAGUGCUGCAGCUAACGCAUUAAGCACUCCGCCUGGGGAUACGGUCGCAAGACUG
rnacentral:rRNA from 1 species